AGCAAAGUGGCGGCCAUGACGCUGGAUAUGCUAGUCGCGUGUGCUCGUUAAGAUUUUGGCUACAACAUACAUUGACAACGACCCAAAUCAUAAGACGCAUAUGAUACGCUUGUGGUUACUUUAUAACUGCGGUAAAGUCUUCGAUACA